GAUGAACGCUGGCGGCGUGCCUAAUACAUGCAAGUCGAGCGAACAGACGAGGAGCUUGCUCCUCUGACGUUAGCGGCGGACGGGUGAGUAACACGUGGAUAACCUACCUAUAAGACUGGGAUAACUUCGGGAAACCGGAGCUAAUACCGGAUAAUAUAUUGAACCGCAUGGUUCAAUAGUGAAAGACGGUUUUGCUGUCACUUAUAGAUGGAUCCGCGCCGCAUUAGCUAGUUGGUAAGGUAACGGCUUACCAAGGCAACGAUGCGUAGCCGACCUGAGAGGUUGAUCUGCCACACUGUAACUCACACCCGGUCCAGACUCCUACGGGAGGCAGCAGUAGGGAAUCUUGCGCGAAGGGCGAAAGCCUGACGAAUCCACGCCGCGUGAGUGAUGAAGAUCUGCGGAUCGUAAACCUCUUUUAUUAGGGAGGAACGAGUGUGUGAGUAUCUCUGCACGGCUUCAGGGUCCCUAAUCAGUAAGCCCCGGCUAACUACGUG
rnacentral:rRNA from 1 species